AUAUCCAUAUCCUCCGUGUGACAGCUGCUCUUUUCAGUAUGAAGAACUCAUACAUGAAGACAAGAUACCUGUGUGGAAAAGCAAACUGUUGCUUCUACAUCAUUCUGGGCAAAGAGAACAAACAGAAACCUCAACUUCUGAAUCAGCAUGGGCUGUGGAUCUGGAGAUAAUGUUUUCAAUGGCUUCUUCUGGCUGUUGGUACUAAUAUUACUAUCAUGGUGGGUUGCAGCAAUCUGCUUCUUCCCAUUUCUAGUGAUCAGUGUUCUCACACCCUGCAUUAGUGGCUUCAAAAAUGUGUAUGAACUUCUUUUAGCAGGCGUAAUGUUCCCACAUAAGUGUUCUGAUAACAUGGUGCACCGAAAAUCAUAUAACUCAUUUUAAAACUUAAAAAGAAAAAGAUGAAAUGGAUAACUUGAAAUUAAAUAUGUCAAGAACCAGAAUGUCUAUGUCAAAAAGUUACUUAAAACAGAAUGAUUUCUUUUAGUGAGGUGGGAGAAUUCUUAAUGGGGCAAAUGUUUGAGAAUUGUACUCAGGUCUGCUUAGACCAACAUAUAACGGCUUGUAGUAAACACUAUAUAUGUGGAAAAAGGGAAUGUAAUCCAACUCACAAUCACUCCAUUUUCAGAGUGGCUGUAAUUUUGUGUGUGUGUGUGUGUGUGCGCUAAGAUAAAGACAAUAUGCAUGGUAAUUUGUGAUUUUUUUUUUUAAAGACAUGGUUCAUGUAGUAGUUCAGAUAAGCUAACAUAAUACUCAUGAAAGUGUUAAAAAUCUGAAAGAAUGAACUCUUUGAUUUACACAACAGAGAUGUUUAAGUUGUUGUUCUGGCUUGUGACAGUGAUGACAUGUACAUAAAUACCAACAUUCUGGAGACAGUCCAUAUGGUAUCACAACCCAGAACACCAACACAUAAUGUAAGCUACUGUAGCUGAAGAAACUGUGUUAUGUGACCUCAUUUACAUUAGCUCAAUUUAUAAUAAUCAUGGAAUCAUAUAACUUGGCCAGGUUUUGUAAAAAUACUAGAUUUACCAUAUCUGCCCACCUCUCUGUGUGUGUAUGGUUGUACUGGUACCACUCUGACCACAGUAUAAUUACUUUGAGUAUGUUGCUGGAGUUUUUCUUUCAUAUAACUAAAUUUUGAUUGAAGACCAUUAUUUUGCAAAAAGCCAAUGAAACAAGGACAUGACCAACAACAUACCACAGGAAAGACAACAUAUUCAACAUAAACCAUGUACAGCCUUCUCUACAUAACAGAACAAUAGUAAUAUACAUUAAUCACUGCAUUAAAGGAACUGCACAAAGGCAAGGUUUGACCACACAAGACUAUAUUACUCCCAUGAAGGUUUUUAUUUUUUUUUUUUUUUUGCUAUUUCUAACCGUAUUUACCAUUUCUUAAUCGUGCCUUAUGUGUAGUGUUAAAAUUAGGUCUUAUGAAGAUUGCUUGACAACUGAAACACACAUAAUUUUGAUGGGACACCAGUAACAAGUUAGUGAUAUGAUAGUUCACUGAUACAAGCCACUGGUAAUAUUGUUGUGUAAUAAGUAAUGGGGCACUGGACAUAAAAUGUAUAAUUAACACAAUAGUAUGCUGCAGUAUUGAGACAUAUUCCAUAGAGUAUCAAGCACUUUAAUUAUUAAAUUCAUGUUGUUAUGACAGACCUGAUUCCUUUUAAUUACUUGCCUGGAAGACUUAAAACAUCAUGCUCUCAUUUUGGGGGUGCUAUCUCCACAGAGCUGCAUCAUGACCAAAUGUCAUGUUCCUCUGUGCCAACUGCUUUGGUCCCGUCAUUUGCAAGGAUAAUCCGGAGCAAGCAGCAAGCCACUAAAAGAAUACUCCAGUGGGUUUCAUGAUAUUAUCAAAUGUCUGAAUAAGACAUGCAAGAGAGUAAUUCAAAGAGAACCUGGGGAAACAUAAUUUCUUCCACCAAAACAUAAAAAUUACAUGGACUAAAUAAAUACAAGAUCCAUGAA